rnacentral:rRNA from 1 species
CGGCGGACGGGUGAGUAAUGCCUAGGAAUCUGCCUGGUAGUGGGGGACAACGUUUCGAAAGGAACGCUAAUACCGCAUACGACCUACGGGUGAAAGCAGGGGAUCUUCGGACCUUGCGCGAUUGAAUGAGCCGAUGUCGGAUUAGCUAGUUGGCGGGGUAAAGGCCCACCAAGGCGACGAUCCGUAGCUGGUCUGAGAGGAUGAUCAGCCACACUGGAACUGAGACACGGUCCAGACUCCUACGGGAGGCAGCAGCC